AUGAGGACCUGUCGGACCUCCAGGACUCACUGCUCCGCUCCUGAGGUCUAUGAAGAAAACAUAUCUAAUUGGAUGUUCUACCACCACUUCUCGUAUAACAUGUCCCCAAAGUUGGCUACAUCAUCACCAUCUCACCAGUUGCCAGUCACGCCAGAUGUUAUUCCCAGACAAUUCUCCAGCCAUUGUGUGCCCAGGCCAGGAUGUGGUGGCCACUGCCAGAGGAAGCCGGUGCUGUGGGCGCACUUGCUUCAACUGGGGGAUGGACGGUGUUUCCAUGCACCUACCUGCCCCCCUGGACACAGCUGUGAGGGCCCCAGCUGCAGACCCUGGGCACUGAAUCAACUGCAUUUGCUAGGCUUCCCAACUGGUUGAGAACCACUGGUUUGUAAUAUUUUAGUUUGUACGUCUUCUAAUCUUUUAAAAAUCCUUUAUUUUCUACAUUUUUCUUCAAAGAAUUUUAGAAUAUGAUGGUAUUUUUGAUAAAUCAUUGUUUCUUCAUGUCAGUCAAGACUAAAAUUUGAAAAAAGGUGAAAAUAUAAUGGGGGAAAAUUUGAAGAGCGCC
rnacentral:lncRNA from 1 species